rnacentral:rRNA from 1 species
GCUGGCUCCCCGGAGCAUGUGCUCGCCCGUCACCUUUAUCUUUCCACCUGUGCACACACUGUAGUCCUGGAUACCUCUCGCCGAAAGGCGGAUGCAGAGUUUGCUGUUCCUCUCUCGAGGUCGGCUCUCUCUGAAUUUCCAGGGCUAUGAUCUUAUACACCCCAAUUGAAUGUUACAGAAUGUUAUCAUAAGGCUUCGUGCCUAUAAACCUAUACAACUUUCAGCAACGGAUCUCUUGGCUCUCGCAUCGAUGAAGAACGCAGCGAAAUGCGAUAAGUAAUGUGAAUUGCAGAAUUCAGUGAAUCAUCGAAUCUUUGAACGCACCUUGCGCUCCUUGGUAUUCCGAGGAGCAUGCCUGUUUGAGUGUCAUUAAAUUCUCAACCUCACCAACUUUUGUUGUGUGAAGGCUUGGAUGUGGGGGUUGCAGGUCCGCACUCGUGGUCUGCUCCUCUAAAACGUAUUAGUGGGUUGGUCCCCUAAUCUAUUGGUGUGAUAAUUAUCUACGCCGUGGAUUAGGAUGGCUACAUAGACUCGCUUCUAACCGUCCUCACGGACAACUUGACAAUUUUGACCUCAAAUCAGGUAAGACUACCCGCUGAACUUAAGCAUAUCAAUAAGCGGAGGAAGGAUCAUUAUUGAAUAAAC